rnacentral:rRNA from 1 species
UACAGGGGGUGCAAACGUUGCUCGGAAUCAUUGGGCGUAAAGCGCACGUAGGCGGUUCGUUAUGUCGGAUGUGAAAGCCCUUGGCUUAACCGAGGAAGUGCAUCCGAAACUGGCGAGCUAGAGUACUAAAGAGGAUCGCGGAAUUCCCGGUGUAGAGGUGAAAUUCGUAGAUAUCGGGAGGAACACCUGUGGCGAAGGCGGUUCUCUGGGCCUGUACUGACGCUGAGGAGCGAAAGCGUGGGGGGCGAACAGG